rnacentral:rRNA from 1 species
UUCUCGGUCACGAAUGUCUAAGCCACUUCUGAUCACUCUUUCACCCAAGCUUUCAUCGAUGAGAUGAUGGCCGUCUCGGCGUCAAUUACAGGAGCCUGGCUUGCUCUUGGAGAUUUUAAUCUUAUUCGGUACCCCCACGAGAAAAACAACGCCAACUUUUGCACCUCCCUCGCCUCUAGCUUCAGCGCCUUGAUCAACGCCCUGUCGUUCGUCGAGCUCCCCCUCUCCGACCGCUUCUCCACAUGGACGAACCGGCGUACGCCGCCCACCCUCGCCCGCCUAGACCGGGCGUUGUUCAACGCUGGCUAG